CCUACGGGGGGCAGCAGUGGGGAAUAUUGCACAAUGGGGGAAACCCUGAUGCAGCGACGCCGCGUGAGUGAAGAAGUACUUCGUUACGUAAAGCUCUAUCAGCAGGGAAGAAAAUGACGGUACCUGAGUAAGAAGCCCUGGCUAACUACGUGCCAGCAGCCGCGGUCAUACGUAGGGGGCAAGCGUGCUCCGGUUUUACUGGGUGUAAAGGGAGCGGAGACGGGUGGCCAAGUCUGGAGUGAAAUGCCGGAGUUGAACUGCGGAACUGCUUUGGAUACUGGCGAACUAGAGUGCGGGAGGGGUAAGUGGAAUUCCAGGUGUAGCGGUGAAAUGCGUAGAUAUUAGGAGGAAUACCGGUGGCGAAGGCGGCUUACUGGACCGUAACUGACGUUGAGGCUCGAAAGCGUGGGGAGCAAACAGGAUUAGAUACCCGAGUAGUC
rnacentral:rRNA from 1 species